AAAAUAUUUUCCCAGCUUCAGAACCAUAAUGAAGUGAAGAUGAAUUUCAGAUUCAGAUGGAACCUAUUUUGAAAUCCUAGAUUGUAAACAACUUGCAGACGAAGAGGUUGCAUUUAUUAAAAAACUGAAACCCAGCCACAUCCUCGCAUUUGCCACGGGAAGUGGAAAUAUACCAGCUCUAGGAUUUUCUCCAAGGCCACGAAUAUCGUUCAUUCAUGAUGAGGAUCAUGUUUAUCCAAUUGCACACACAUGCAACAAUGAGCUUCAGUUGUUUGUCAAUGCCAAAACAACCAAAGAUAAUAAUUUUUUAUAUUUGUUAUUGACUGCUCUUAUGAAUGGGGCAGUAUUUAGCACUGUCUAAUUAAAAUUUUAAAGGACAGACAUUGGUCUGUAGCCUAUCCAGCAAUUGUAUCCCAUUGAAAUAUGAAAAAUCAUUAUCCUUUGUUGUAUAUUUUCUGUUCAUUUAAGGAGGAACUAUCAUGAAUUAAUGAACAUAAAUGAACAUAUUACUAACA